AAGUUUCAAAGGUAACGUUCAUCCCAUGAAUGAGUCUGAUGCAACUGAUCGAUCGAAACAAUCAAUAUAAUUGACUGAAUAGUUGAGUCACGGACUCACGAUCUUCCAAAGCUACGAAAGAGGUGGAUAAGAGAAACGAGCAGAAAAGGAAGCUGCCACCCAGCUCCUUCCCGUGUCGCUCAUGGCGUUGUCUUCAUUUCUCAUUUUGAUCUUUUUGGAUAAUUCCAAAAGAAAAACAAGAAUAUUCAUCUUAUCCUUUCUUUGCUCAAUGUAAUGGCAUCAUUCACCCUUUUUCAUUCCCUUCUUCAACUCACCUUCAUCAUCUUCUACUUUCUCUUGCUGUACUCCGAGCUCUGAUCACAGAAGAGAGGAAGAGAUGUUUGCACCGCCAGGCUAUCAGCAAGUGUCAGUGUCGCACGUCGAUCACAUCCGUCGACGCCAUGAAGAAAGAGGCUGCCUCUAUGCUUGCCUGUUCGCGCUGUGUUGCUGCUUCUGCUGCUUCGAGACUUGCGAGUAUUGCUUGGAGAUGCUCUGCUGUUGCUGCCUCUAAAGUGAACAACACACGUGAACAUCAUGUAUAUCACUCCGCCGGUGCUCCCGAUGUUCUGUAGAUCUGGCUUCUUCAGUGUAUCUACUUUGAAAUAAUAUCGAGUCUUAGUUCAUGUAUAUCUUCUAAUAUGUCUGAAGAGGUUCAAGGCUUGCAAGAUCUCAUCUACUUAUUGAGUAAAACCCACUUAGAACUAUUGUUUCUUGAGAAGA